UAUCACAUUUGUCCUCCGAUGGAACCUUUUUACAAGUAUAAAUGGCCUGUAGCAAGUCAACUUUGUUUGUUUAUUAAUUAAUUGGGUGUCGUGCGCCCAACGAACACGUUUACCUCAACUACUCCACAUCGCUGGAUCUAAAAGGCUCCUGCUGCUGCUGGAUGAGACUCUCAUAGUCAUCGCCAAGGAGCAAACAAGGGGAUCGAUCAUCGCGCGCCUUCCAUCUUCUUCCUGCAGCUUAUCUCUGUGUCACGAAGAAGAAGAUCAUCGAUCGUCUCAGAUAAGCCUGGUGGGAGAAAACAGCAGCAUGGACUUUAAACUCCAGUUGCUUGAAGCUAUUACAGACAACUUUUCAGAGGAACAGAAGCUUGGCAGCGGCGAUUAUGGAGAAGUUUACAGGGCGGUGCUUGAUAACGGGGAAUAUAUUGCUCUGAAGAAGCUUCAUCAAUUACAAGGACUUGAUGAUAAGCAAUUUCGCAGUGGAUUCCGUGACCUUGUCAGGGUCUCUCACAAAAAUGUUGUACGCUUAAUUGGCUACUGCCACGAAUCUCGGAAGAAAUACGUUGAGCACAAGGGGGAACUUACUUUGGCUAAAAUAACUGAGAGAGUUCUCUGCUUCGAGUAUAUGCAUGGCGGGAGCUUCGAUAAACAUAUUGCAGAUGAAUCUUGUGAACUUGAUUGGCCCAUUUGUUACAAAAUCAUUAAAGGGACGUGCGAGGGGUUAAAUCACCUUCACACCAAGCAGGAAAAGCCUAUUUUCCAUCUGGAUUUAAAGCCUUCUAACAUAUUGCUGGAUGAGAGCAUGACGCCCAAAAUUUCAGAUCUUGGUCUGUCCAUACUUGUUUCUUCGACAAAAACGCACGAAACAGAGAUACUCAGAGGCACACAAGGGUACAUGCCGCCAGAAUACAGAGAUAGUGGCUUGGUAUCAAACAAGUUUGACGUGUUCAGUUUGGGCAUCAUAAUUAUAAAAACAGUGGCUGGAAAUAUGGGCUACUUCCGUUAUUCUGAAAUGUCUCAUAAAGAUUUUAUUGAGUUUGUAAGUGAAAAUUGGAUGAAGAGGUGGCAGGCAAUGCCGGGUUACUAUUCAUCACAUGAAAUAGACAUCCUAACAGUGAUUACAUGUAUUGAGACCGCAUUAAGAUGUGUCGAUACCGACCAAAAAAAGAGGCCCUGCAUAGAGGAUAUUGUCCAUGAACUGGACGAACUAGAAGCUGAGAUUAAGAAAAUAAGGUUACUAGCUCCUGAUCCUAUGCAGAUUCUCUUGAGUAAUCAAGGCCCUGGCAUGGAGUUUCCAAAAAUUUCCAGGCUAUGUACGGCCCAUAACUUGGCCCACUAUAAGCGCAUCCUGGAUUUUAAAUUCGGUUUGAUUGAAGCUAUUACAAACGGUUUUUCAGAUGAUCAGAAAAUUGGGAGUGAUGGGUAUGGAGAUGUUUACAGGGCAUUGUACAAUGGGGAAGAGAUUCUUGUGAAGAAGCUUCAUUCCUUGGAGGGACUUGAUGACAAAGAAUUUGAGAAUGAAAUGCAUAUCCUUACCAAGGUCCAUCACAAAAAUGUUGGUCGUUUAAUUGGCUACUGCUACAAAACUUGCCUUAUAAAUGUUGAGCGCAAUGCGGAACAUGCUUCCUCAGUGGCAACGGAGCGAGUUCUAUGCUUUGAAUAUACACAAAGUGGAAGCCUUGAUAAACAUAUUGCAGAUGAACCAGCUUGCCGACUUGAUUGGUCCACACUUUACAAAAUUAUUAAAGGGACUUGUGAGGGCUUAAAUCACCUUCUCAGUGCACAUCAAAAACCUAUUCUCCAUCUAGACUUGACACCGGCUAACAUUUUUCUGGUUAAGGGCAAGACACCUAAAAUUAUAGGUUUUGGUUUGUGGAGACUUAUUGAUUCGACAAAAAUGCAUCAAACAAAGAUCUUCAAAGAAACACACGGGUACAUGCCACCAGAAUAUGUCGACACUGGCUUUAUAUCAAACAAGUUUGACGUGUUCAGUUUGGGUGCCAUAAUUAUAAAGCUGAUGGCCGGAAAUAUGGGCUACUCUCGUUGUUUCGAAAUGUCCCCCAAAGAUUUUAUUCAACAUGUUAGUGACAAUUGCACGAAAAGGUUGCAUGCAAUGCCAGGAUAUUCACCAUAUGAAAUAGACAUCCUACGAGUGAGUACAUGUGUUGAGAUUGCAUUAAGAUGUGUGGACGAAGACCGAGAGAAAAGGCCCUGUAUAGAAGACAUUGUCCAUAAACUGGGGGAACUAGAAGCUAGGGUUAAGACAAUAAUGUUACUACCUCAUGAUCAUAGGCAAAGCCUCUUGACUGACCUGGACCCUGGCUUGUACUCUCCAAAAGAAAGCAGGCUAUAUAUGUCCCAUAAGUUGGCCCAAGAUGGAGCUGUUACAGGGUAUAAAUCAAAUUGGUCCAGGAUUGAUUCUCAGUCUGGCGCCACCAGCACUGCUCAUGGUCAGUCAAAAGACCUAAGUCUCCAGACGGGGUCUAUUCCACAAUAUAUGUCCUUACAACAUCUAAGAGACAUCACAAACAACUUCUCUGAUGAGCGAAUAAUUGGUAGAGGUGGUUUCUAUGUGGUAUAUAAGGGAGUGCAACAAAAUGCGAAAAUGGUUGCAGUGAAGAAGCUUGUGCAUCCAACGGUGAGCACACAGGUGGAAUUUGAGAAGGAGGUUAAACUCCUUAUGAAACUAAAGCACCCAAAUAUAGUGCAACAAGUAGGCUACUGCUAUGAAACACAGAAUCUGUAUAUGGUUCAUGAAGGAAAAUGCAUUUUUGCUGAGUAUACUCACACUUUGCUUUGCUUAGAACUUCUGAAGAACGGAAGUCUUGAUAAGUAUAUUUCAGCUGCAUGUUCUGGACUUGAUUGGCACGGACGCUGCAAAAUAAUUGAGGGGGUUUCCUAUGGUCUAGAGUACCUUCAUGAGCAAUCUAAAGAACCCAUUCUUCACUUGGACCUAAAACCUGCGAACAUAUUGCUUGAUGUCAAUAUGCUGCCAAAAAUUACAGAUUUUGGUCUGUCAAGACUAUUUGAUCAAAGCCGAACUAUUCAGACUGCAAAUACUAGUGGAACACUAGGUUACAUGGCGCCAGAAUACCUGCGAGGUAUAAUCACACCUAUGUCAGACAUAUUCAGUUUGGGUGUUAUAAUCUUGGAGGUAAUAACAGGGCACAGGGACUACCCAUAUGAUAUUAGAUCAUCUUCCAAGGAAUUCAUCGAGCACGAGCUUCAAAACUGGAGAAAUAGGCUGCAAAAAGAACCAGGGUCUAGAUCGCUAGAAACAGAUUGCCAACAAAUAAAAAAAUGCAUUCAGAUAGGUCUAAUCUGCGUGAAUCCUGAGCGGACCAAAAGACCUACAAUGAAGAAAAUUAUUGAUAUGCUUGAAGGCUUGGAAAGUACGGAUUGGUACAUUAACAAUCAGUUAUCAAGCCAUGAAAUCCAAGAGGAGCUAUAGCUAUUGAAGGAGGUCGUCAUGCAUCCACUGCGGCUUCCAUCUUCUUGGUAUGCCACUUCACUGUGUUCGUUCGACAGGGUGUUGGAUCUCCGUUCGUGCUACAUGCAAUUGUCGUUUAUGUUUGACAGCUGGCUAUGCAAGGCUGUCGCCGCUCGCUGCUCUUUUGUGAACGUCUGUAACACUGAGAAUGCUGAAGCCUGUGUGGUAAGGUAUGCUGUACUUUUAGCGAAAUAUUGAGGAUUUGGUAAGGUAUGCUUCAGACUGUCUUUCUUCUUUGGUUAACAAGCUGAACUCAUCAUUGUGCAACUCCAUGACAUCAAAUUGAAGGCUGAAACUCUGAGUUCUUUUUCUUUUACCCGUGAUAUAUCGCUCAGUCUGCGAUACAUGAUGCGGGCCUUGUGUGCGUUGGUAAGGCGCCGGAGCUGUUCCGUGCCCUCCUCUCUACCGAACAAGCUUUGUUGCAUCAAUAGAACGCUGGUGAUUAUAUGAGCAAAACUCUGUUUAAUUCAACCUCUUCAGAAUUGGAGUUAUCGAGAUUCUUUCGAUUCUUGCGUCUGCUCUAAUUCUUUGCUGAACCGCGCAAACAAACAACAAAUUCAUCUCGAUGCCCAACCAUUUUACUUUAUCUUUCAAGAGCUGGCAAAUGUAUAUGAGCAGAGAGGGUUUGAGCUUCUAUCAGUACAGAUUUUUUUUUUGGCAUAAAAAUGCUCCUCACUAUAUUUAAUUAAAUACCUGGGAAAGUCAAUUCGUUCGUAAUGGACUUGUAGGCUGUAGCGCCAGGGCUCGUAACUUCUUUUGUGGAAAUGACCUGAAUUAACUAAAAAGUAAACAAAACUGAAGAAAUUGAACCAUACACGGACAAGAAAGGCCUCUGAUAUAACCUCAAAUUUCUUCAAACAUUGGUUGUCACAGACAAAAAAAAGACCCUUGUUUACAGUUAAUUUUAGAUCGUCUGGUUUGGUUUUGGCGCGGCACCUUCUGAACAUGACAGCGUCAGUAGCUGUCCUUGGCAUUUGAAGAAACGGCAUCGCCGCCGAGCAGUGCAGCCCACCCACCAAUGAUGUUCUCAUCAGGGGGCGCAGACCCGUUUACGACCAGGCCCCGCCGUCAUCACCCUCAUCCUCCUCAUCUUUUAAGUGUUGUUGACGCACUGAACCUGGUGAUCAGCAAAUAUGCUGCGGGGCAACCCCAGGAUUUUAGUAGGUAUUCGCCCAAGCAAACCACAAAUUUGUCGCAAUGCCAAACCAAAAUGGGAUAAGAUGGCCUGUAGCAAAAUUUAUGCAGAUGUUUUGUAUGGCUAGAUUUGAUAGCUUUACUCCCUAUAAGAGAGGAACAUACUAACUCACUCCAGGAUUAGGAUACAGUGAGGUUAAACAGACACCAGAGGAUUGCAGAUUCUGAGCGAGAUAGCAUCCCACUACGAUCUACUAAUAAUCUGCAGGUGAUGACGGCACUCGCUAAUGAUGGUGCUGAAGAGAUCCCGCGUAUUGCUGGGCCAAAGAAGCCUCCGUUGCUGCAGGAAAAUCAAUACAUGAAACAUAACGUCAGUCAACUGGAUGUUGCAAAGAGCCCACCAAACCACUGUAAUCCCAAAACAAAGAUAAUUGAUGCUCCCAGUCGGCUCAGAUUUCAGCCAUGUAAUCAUGUCUUGGACUGAUAGAGGGAGCCGAUUCCAAUCCAAAACCUCCCGAACAAAAAGAGCAGGCAAAGAUAGCAAUGGGACAGCAAAACAAAACAUGAUCAGUUGUUUCGGUUUCCCCGCACAGGGGGUAAUUGCUAUCUGUAGCCCAAUGUCUAUGAAGUAUUUGUUCUCUUGUAAGGAUUCUAUUCUAUGAUGGACAACCUGUCAUGUUAAAACCCAGAUCUUCAAAGGAAUUUUUAGCUUCCAGAGUUGAACCAAAUAUUGGGGUUUGGACUCCCAGAUGGGAAAGCCAACCAUACAUAGAUUUUAUUACCGUGUUUGUAAUCAAGUUGCACAUCAUAUCGGCCUUGUGUGCGUCAGUAAGGCGCCGGAGCUGUUCCGUGUCCUCCUCUCUACUGAACAAGCUUUGUUGCAUUAAUAGAAUGCUGGUGAUUAUAUGAGCAAAACCCUGUUUAAUUAAACCUCUUCAGAAUUGGAGUUACGAGAUUGUUUCGAUUCUUUGCUGAACCGCGCAAACAAACAACAAAUUCAUCUCCAUGCCAAACCGUUUUACGUCAUCUUUCAAGAGCUAGCAAAUGUAUACCAGCAGAGAGAGUUUGAGCUUUCGUCACUCAUGUUCUAUCACUACAGAUGUUUUUUUUUUGCACAAAAAAUGCUCCUGACUAUAUGUCCCUAUGACAUGGUGUUUUUUUAAUAGUACAUCUUAGUAUAUGUUAGAAUGUAGGUACAUUAUUCAUUAGAUUAAAUAACUGGAAGAGUCAAUUCGUUUGAAAAGGACUCGUAGGCUGUAGCAAGGGCUCAUAAGUUCUUUUGGUGAAAUGACCUGACUUUAUUAGUUAAAUAAACAAACUAAACUGGACUGAAGAAAUUGAACCAUACACAGACAAGAAAGAUCUCUGAUAUAACCUCAAAUUUCUUCAAACAUUGGUUGUCACAGACAAAAAAUAGAUCGUCUGGUUUGGUUUUGGUGCCUCGCCUUCUGAACAUGACAGCGUCAGUAGCUUUUCCCUGGCAUUUGCCGAAACAUUUUCGUUCAGCUGCAACAAUUUAAUACUGAAACCUUUUUUCUCACCGUGGAUCAGCAGCCCAAAACCCAGUUGGGAUCCAGCGUCGCCACCGACCAGUGCCGCCUACCCACGAAUGGCGUGUUCUCAUCAGGGAGCGCAGAUUCGUCUACAACCAAGCCCACCGUCAUCAACCUCACCCUCCUUGUCUAUCAGGUGUUGUCAACUGAACCUGGUGAUCAGCAAAAUAUGCUGCGGGUCAACCCCAGGAUUUCGGAUGGUACUCGGCCAAACAAGCCACAAAUUCGUCUCAGUGCCAACUAAACUGAGAUAAGAUGUCAUGUAGCAAAAUUUAUGAAGAUGUUUUGUAUGACUUGAAGAUUUGAUAGGUCAGCAUAGACUUUUAAGAGGUAUUCCAUUUUUCACCGGGAUAGGAGAACCUAGAGACAGCUUACUUCUUCCCAGUUUUCCAUCAUUAGAGCAAAGGUAACAAAGUUUACUGGGGGUACCAGUUAAUCAUAGGAAUAAUCAGAGUGAAGAGAACAUGGUGCAAGACUCCACAAUUACAGAGAAACAUACUAACUCACUCCAGGAUCAGGAUGCGGUGAGGUUAAACAGACAUCAGGGGAUUACGGAAUCUGAGCAACAUAGCAUCCCACUAAUUAAGAUCUACUAAUAAUCUGCAGGCGGCACUCGCUAAUGAUGGUGCUGAAGAGAUCCUGCGUCUUGCCUGGCCAAAGAAGCCUCCAUUGCUGCAGGAAAAGCAAUGCGCAAAACAUAGCGUCAGUUGGAUUCAUGAUGGGACAGCAAAACAUAGACAUGGGACAUCUAUAGGCCCAUGUCUAUGAAGUAUUUGUUCUGUUGUUGGGAUUUCCUAACAAACUUUUAGCUUCCAGAACUUGACCAAAUAUGGGGUUUGGACUCCCAUUACAGCGAUAAACAAAUUUUGUGCUAU